UUCUGAACAGAGCUCUGAUCUGACAGCUUCACUGUUGCAGUGAGGUCAGCAGGGGUAAUGAUGACCAUUCAGUGCUGGACAGUGCUGUGCAUGCAGAUGACAGAGGGAUGGGUUGAGCUGAGGAUCAUGAGCAGCCACAGCCUGGAGUGAAAAGAGAGAUGGAUGGGUCACGCGGCACAGUUUCAUAGCAGGAAACGCACACCCAUCCUUCACAUAGAGCAUCACGGCCAAACAACACCUCAAACAAUCUUAGAGCACCUUCCUCUCUCCUCAGAGCGAUGGAGAACAAAGAAUGCAGGUUCACUCUAAAAAUGUGGAGACUUCUCGCCUGCAUCCUGUGUUUGUAUUUUAUCCGCCUGCCUUCGCUCUGAAGUCUGACUGAUAUGAUCUGCAGGAAUAAUUAGAGUGGGCUGGAACUUUUUAAUACACACAUAUUCUCACACAUAAUGCUGGUGUCAUUUGAGGGCUGGCAUUAUGCACUUGUUAAUUUGUUCACCUUGUUGUUUUUUUAUUGGUUUCUGUGCGUGCUUCCAUUGGCAAUUUCCUGGUUAGUUUACUACAGUCAACAGGGAGACUCCCCAUACCCAGUUCUCGUCCUCUGAAACGACCUCUACAUUAGCCCAGAGUAUGAUUGAUUUGGAUCAGGGGCUUUAGUCUCCAGAGA